CACGCGAAAAAAUAAUCCACUAAGAGAAAAGAUUACAAGGUGAUUACCUACUCAACGGACUCGACCUUUCUUAACCUCCCAUAGAUCUCGCGCAAGCUUCCGGGUUGUCCAUGCCUUCACGUUCAAAUCCACGAACGCCACUACUCACACGUCCGAAUCUACGGACGCCACUCGAAUCCAUGAGCUCACGAUCCGUAUCCUCGAACCGCCUUCGAUCACGCCGAAUCCACGACGCCGCACAUGAAGAACAUCAUGCUU
rnacentral:lncRNA from 1 species